rnacentral:rRNA from 1 species
GAUGAACGCUGGCGGCGUGCUUAACACAUGCAAGUCGAACGGAGUUGUCUCGCUGAAGCGAGCUUGCUCAAUUCUUGAGACAACUUAGUGGCGGACGGGUGAGUAACGCGUGGGUAACCUGCCAUAUACAGGGGGAUAACACUUAGAAAUAGGUGCUAAUACCGCAUAAGCGCACAGUUUCGCAUGAAACAGUGUGAAAAACUCCGGUGGUAUAUGAUGGACCCGCGUCUGAUUAGCUAGUUGGUGGGUAACGGCCUACCAAGACGACGAUCAGUAGCCGACCUGAGAGGGUGAUCGGCCACAUUGGAACUGAGACACGGUCCAAAACUCCUACGGGAGGCAGCAGUGGGGAAUAUUGCACAAUGGGCGCAAGCCUGAUGCAGCAACGCCGCGUGAAUGAUGAAGGCCUUUGGGUCGUAAAAUUCUGUUCUGAGGGAAGAAGACAGUGACGGUACCUC